GUGGGUAACCUGCCUUAUAGUGGGGGAUAGCCUUUCGAAAGGAAGAUUAAUACCGCAUAAGAUUGUAGUAUCGCAUGAUAUAGCAAUUAAAGGAGCAAUUCGCUAUAAGAUGGACCCGCGUCGCAUUAGCUAGUUGGUGAGGUAAUGGCUCACCAAGGCGACGAUGCGUAGCCGACCUGAGAGGGUGAACGGCCACAUUGGGACUGAGACACAGCCCAGACUCCUACGGGAGGCAGCAUG
rnacentral:rRNA from 1 species